UUAUAUUAGUAAAUUGAGCCGAGAGCACAUAGAAAGAAAAAGAACAAAGAUUGAGAAUUAUAGAGCAGGAGAUGAAAUUAGGAGCAUGAUUGAACUAUCAGUCGUAAUCAGGAAUAAGAUAGCAGUGAACUUUUUGGGUUGACGUGAGUCAUAGGAACUCCACAUGUUAUCAGGGUCGGCGGCUGACGCAUUUUUGGAAACAUUCUCCUCCUCAUCAUUUUUUGCAUGUAGAUAAAUAUAUAGUAUAUAGAGUGGUGAGAGGGCCCCACUACAAUUUAGAAUGUUUGAAAUAUGUACUUGAAGCGUGAGUUAAUUUAUUUAAUAUAUAGAAUUUAUUUAUAGUAAGUGCAUACGUCAUAAGGGUUGAGGAGUGACAGUUUAGGUGGUAUCAGAGAGGGGAUAGAAUCCCGCUGGGACAUAGCAUUCGUGCAUAUCGUAUGAUAUAUUUUGAUCAUAAGUUUCAUUUGCAUUUUAAUUAUCAUGAACAUGUCUCACCGAGGAGAGAAGGGUCAGCCGCCCUACAUCAUCAAUUAAUUAUAACAUUUCAUAUACAUGUUGCAUCAUAUGAGGAUUUCCCAGACUUUAGAACAAAGAGUACAUGGACCAAUGAUGAGGUAAAGAGGUAGAAAAUUUAAAAGAGCUCGAAAAAGUAGAAGUUAUUGAUUUUAUGGGACUAAUCUGACUGAGGCUGAGAUAUAGUUAAAAGUGAUAGAACCGGUGUUCAAUCAGAUGAGUUGUAUGUCAGAAGAAGGUUUUGAUUAUAGGGUAUCUCUUCUUUGAAGCAAUACUUACUCUUGGUGGGAAACAGUCCCACAAGCUAUAAUACAACCUUUGGUAUUCAGUUCAGACGAUUUUUCUAGAGAACCCAAUGUUAAAGCAAAGAAGUGCACUGUGAUAAGAAGCAAAGAAGGUUUUGUCUUUAAUCAAGGAACUAUAUUUGUUGA